UACGUAGGGGGCAAGCGUUGUCCGGAAUUAUUGGGCGUAAAGAGCGUGUAGGCGGCCAGAUAAGUCCGCUGUGAAAUCUCGAGGCUCAACUUCGAGCUGUCGGUGGAAACUAUCUGGCUAGAGUCCGGAAGAGGAGAAUGGAAUUCCUGGUGUAGCGGUGAAAUGCGCAGAUAUCGGGAGGAACACCGGUGGCGAAGGCGGUUCUCUGGGCCUUACCUGACGCUGAGGAGCGAAAGCGUGGGGAGCGAACAGG
rnacentral:rRNA from 1 species